UACGAAGGGGGCUAGCGUUGCUCGGAAUUACUGGGCGUAAAGGGCGCGUAGGCGGAUAGUUUAGUCAGAGGUAAAAGCCCAGGGCUCAACCUUGGAACUGCCUUUGAUACUGGCUAUCUUGAGUUCGGGAGAGGUGAGUGGAAUGCCGAGUGUAGAGGUGAAAUUCGUAGAUAUUCGGCGGAACACCAGUGGCGAAGGCGACUCACUGGCCCGAUACUGACGCUGAGGCGCGAAAGCGUGGGGAGCAACA
rnacentral:rRNA from 1 species